UACGAAGGGGGCUAGCGUUGUUCGGAAUUACUGGGCGUAAAGGGUGCGUAGGUGGUUCUGCAAGUCAGAAGUGAAAGCCCCAGGCUCAACCUGGGAAUUGCUUUUGAAACUGCAGGACUUGAGUACAGGAGAGGUGAGUGGAAUUCCCAGUGUAGAGGUAAAAUUCGUAGAUAUUGGGAGGAACACCAGUGGCGAAGGCGGCUCACUGGCCUGUAACUGACACUGAGGCACGAAAGCGUGGGGAGCAAACAGG
rnacentral:rRNA from 1 species